AUUAUUGUGGAUCCGGAGUUACCACGGAACUGCUGGCCUAAAGGCCGGGUAAUCGGUACAGUAGAGAAAGGAGGUCAGGUACGUAGAGCAACUGUUCAAACUAGCAAGGGAGUGUACGAGCGACCAGCGGUCAAGCUGGCGGUCCUUGAUAUCUGGAGCGAAAAUAGGUAGGCCAAAUCCUGGAGUUGGCAUACCGGGGGGGAGUGUUACAACCCCUCAGGUUGUGUCGCUCCUAGUUACUCAACUGACCGUACCCCAUGCUCCGAUAUGGUCGUGCGCCGAUGGAUGAGUGAUGACAGGAGCAGAAUAGAAAGCGAGUGAUGCGAACAAUAGGGAAUAGAAGUCCUCUUUAUUUACAAAAACAGCAAAGUCAUUGAAGACGAAUGCAGUGAAAUUCUUAACGUAGUUUUUUUUUCCUUAUAUUACUACUAUAAAUAAUUGCUUAAACCUAGUAGUACGGCCAAAGUUCAUACGACAAACACUAUGGACAAAUACUUAAACUAAAGCUAACCUAAACAUACACGUUAGCCCGAAGACCUCACAUUGCUAGUCAGGGACAUUCGACUUUGGACGGACAAAAGGACGAAGAUUUACUAAACGUAAGUAACGAAAAUAUGUACUUUCAAACACAACUACGAAUUACCUCAAUCAUACAUGCAGGAUAUUAAAAUAUCUACGAACUGACGGAUAUUAUAAAUCUC